ACGUGUUCCACGGGGCCACCAGGAUGAGUUGUUCGUGACCGGCAGUGCGGGAGAGGACUCGCCCAACAUAGUCGGCGUGUAUGAUGUCGGCAGACUGGAAUACCGCGCCAUCCGAGAACUUAAGGUGGCCUGCAAUGCAAACACGAGGUUUUACGAAGCAGACAACAGAUCAGUGGUCAUGGAAAUUUACGAUAAGUUUUACUUGUUUGACCUUGAAAAAAUGGACGUCAGCAUCGUGUUUCUGGGUCGAGUAGUCGAUACACGAGUGUUUAUCUUGACCAAACGGAAGCAACUCCUCGUGACGUCACGUUUUGUCACGUUUUGGCAAGAACGUGAAACUGUACAACAUCACAAACGGCUGCAUUGACGACAUAAUAAAAACUGGGCACAAGAAGGAGAUCUACCAAGUUGUGGUGAACGAUCCGGGAACGCUCGCUGCAGUGACGGUAGUUUUUGGACCUGUAGUGUUGAUGGACCUUGUCACUCACUCUCGCAUGUAUGAGAUCUCAAACAGUACGUUCAGGAGAUGCGAAAGUAUCUUUACCUCUCAGAAUUAAAAAUACGUUGGAAUUUCGCGGCAUAUAUCGUACAAUAUAUUUUAAUGUUAACGGCGUUUCUUUUUCUGUGUACGCAUUGCAUACUAGCAUAACAUAUACUAUCAAUAAAGCGAACUUUGCGAAUGUUGUUUUCAAGAUCAGUUUAUGGUGUUCGCUCCAUAUGUUAUAAGACUACGAAAGUGU